UGAGGAAUAUUGGGUCAAUGGGGCGAGAGCCUGAACCAGCCAAGUAGCGUGCAGGACGACGGCCCUAUGGGUUGUAAACUGCUUUUAUAAGGGAAUAAAGUGAGUCUCGUGAGACUUUUUGCAUGUACCUUAUGAAUAAGGACCGGCUAAUUCCGUGCCAGCAGCCGCGGUAAUACGGAAGGUCCGGGCGUUAUCCGGAUUUAUUGGGUUUAAAGGGAGCGUAGGCCGGAGAUUAAGCGUGUUGUGAAAUGUAGACGCUCAACGUCUGCACUGCAGCGCGAACUGGUUUCC
rnacentral:rRNA from 1 species